rnacentral:tRNA from 1 species
GCGCCCGUAGCUCAGCUGGAUAGAGCAGUGGUUUUCUAAACCACAGGUCACAGGUUCGAGUCCUGUCGGGCGCGCCA